rnacentral:rRNA from 1 species
AACGAACGCUGGCGGCAGGCCUAACACAUGCAAGUCGAGCGAGGACUUCGGUUCUAGCGGCGGACGGGUGAGUAACGCGUGGGAAUGUGCCCUUCUCUACGGAAUAGCCCUGGGAAACUGGGAGUAAUACCGUAUACGCCCUAUUGGGGAAAGAUUUAUCGGAGAAGGAUCAGCCCGCGUUGGAUUAGGUAGUUGGUGGGGUAAUGGCCUACCAAGCCGACGAUCCAUAGCUGGUUUGAGAGGAUGAUCAGCCACACUGGGACUGAGACACGGCCCAGACUCCUACGGGAGGCAGCAGUGGGGAAUCGUAGACAAUGGGGGCAACCCUGAUCUAGCCAUGCCGCGUGAGUGAUGAAGGCCUUAGGGUUGUAAAGCUCUUUCAGCUGGGAAGAUAAUGACGGUACCAGCAGAAGAAGCCCCGGCUAACUCCGUG